GACUCCAUUUCCCAUAAUCCCGUGCCUUGGACUGAUUAGCGCUGCCAGAGAUCGUCUGGCUGUGGUGCAGUUACAUGUCUCAAAGAUUAAGGCGGACAACUUGUGAAGGAGGCUGCAGAACAAGGAGCAAAAGUUGUAGUCUUACCUGAGUGCUUCAACUCGCCUUAUGGAACUGGGUUCUUUGCCGAGUAUGCUGAGAAGAUCCCAGGAGAAUCCACACAGGUGUUGUCGGAGGCAGCCAAGGACUGUGGGGUCUAUUUAGUUGGCGGUUCCAUUCCUGAAAAGGAUGGAGAAAAGCUCUUUAACACCUGCUUAGUUUUCGGACCUGAUGGAAAGCUGCUUGUCAAACACAGGAAAAUUCAUCUUUUUGAUAUCGAUGUACCAGGGAAAACAUCUAGAAGUCUAGAACACUAAGUCCAGGAAACAGUUUAUUCAUGUCUGAAACAUGUGAGUGUGUGUUACAGAAAUCUUUUCCAUGUUAGAAAAAAAAUACAGCAUAUUGUUGCUUUUUGUCAAUACUUGAUUUAUUUAUUUUUUUAUCAGAAUCAAUGUCAACAGGUAUUAAAAGGCAAGUGUAUUUAUGUAAGAAAAUGCAGUGUUAAAAUUGUAUUUUUUGCCACAUUCAGUGCUGUGGAAUUGAGUUUUAAACUAAAAAAUGUAUGUUUGUUCUUACAGUUACAAAUAUUAUUUGUUUUUUAAAUUAGUUUUAUUUUUAUGUCACACCAUAGGACACAUCAACUACCCAUUAAUAUGUUCUUUAGAAGAACAGCCAAUAUGCUAGUAAUAUGCAUGAUAACAAGCAACUAUAGUUAAUGAAAAUUGGACACAAAUCUAAAUCUAUACCAAAAAAGUAAUAUUUUUAAAUGGACAAAGAUAAAUAUUAUCUGAACCUGAAGUUUUUGUAAUAAAUGGGAAUUUGUACAUUUUAAAGAAGGUUCGAUAACGUUUAGUGACCAGUUUGCCAUGAAAAAAAACCCAGAAACUUAUCUAGGAGUCAAUAUUGUAAUAUAGCAGAAUUAACUAUUAGAAGAUAAACUAUUAAUAUUGCAAACCAAAUUAGAUUAUAUGUACCGUAAAACAAUUCAAGGUUCAUUUGUGAGAUCACAGGCUUUUCCGCUAUCAUUGUGCUGGUAGAUAUUAAAUUCUGGACUAACCAGUGGGGGUGAUUAAAUAUUAUUUAGUCAUGGGACCAACAAGUCUGCUGGUGUUGCAAUUUGUUUUAAUAGUUUUCUAUUAAAACAAAUUGUUAAAACAAAACAAAAUGUUAAAUCUUUCUUCUUAUAAGAGCACCAUCUGUGCUCACAUCAAUAAACAUUCAUUUAUAUGCUUC